rnacentral:rRNA from 1 species
GAUGAACGCUGGCGGCGUGCCUAAUACACGCAAGUCGAGCGAACGGACGAGAAGCUUGCUUCUCUGAUGUUAGCGGCGGACGGGUGAGUAACACGUGGAUAACCUACCUAUAAGACUGGGAUAACUUCGGGAAACCGGAGCUAAUACCGGAUAAUAUUUUGAACCGCAUGGUUCAAAAGUGAAAGACGGUCUUGCUGUCACUUAUAGAUGGAUCCGCGCUGCAUUAGCUAGUUGGUAAGGUAACGGCUUACCAAGGCAACGAUGCAUAGCCGACCUGAGAGGGUGAUCGGCCACACUGGAACUGAGACACGGUCCAGACUCCUACGGGAGGCCGCAGUAGGGAAUCUUCCGCAAUGGGCGAAAGCCUGACGGAGCAACGCCGCGUGAGUGAUGAAGGUCUUCGGAUCGUAAAACUCUGUUAUUAGGGAAGAACAUAUGUGUAAGUAACUGUGCACAUCUUGACGGUACCUAAUCAGAAAGCAACGGCUAACUACGUG